AGAGGACCAAGUACGAUAGGUGAAAGACUAAUGGCCCUAGUUCUUCUGGCAGAGCUAGAACAAUUAGGGCAAAAGUAAUCUAAGAAACACAUCUGGUCAUUUCUUUGCCAGUCCUGGACACCUUAUGCAUCGACAUGUCAUUAUUCUGGACUGCUUCCUGAUUUAAUCGACUUCCAAAAGCCAUUACCCUUCCCUCACAGCCUCUGCUAACAUACUCAGUCAAGUUAUAUGUGACAAUGUCUGGAAGGGAGGGAACAAUAAGCUUGACCUCUUAAGAUACUCAAAACUAAGAUAGUGGUCAUGGUGCUAUUUCCUCUCAUGUCCAAUGGAGGCAGAGGCAAGUGGUACUUAGUAGAUCUAUCAAAGAACAGUAUACCACAAUGCACUGCCUUUGUAAUUCCCAAGAGACUAGAGACAGGAACUCUGUAAGUGUCUCUGUUCCGAGACUAAAGGUACAGUGGCAUAAAAUGAAAACAAUCACAGUGCGAAAGAAAUAACCAUGUGAAAGAAUUAAAAAGAGAGUUGGUGAAAACAUGUUUCCUAUAAAACUAAAUGCACCCUUACCAUAUGAUCCAGCAAUCACACUCCUUGGUAUUUAUCCAAAGGAGUUGAAAACCUAAGUCCACAUAAAAACAUGCACACAGAUGUUUACAACAGCUUUGUUCAUAACUGCCAAAACUUGGAAACCACCAAGGUGUCCUUCAGUAGGUGAAUGGAUAAAAUGAGGUAAAUCCAGACCAUGGAAUUUUAUUCAGCACUGAAAAGCAAUGAGCUAUCAAACCAUGAAAAGACAUGGUAUACAUAUUACUAAAUGAAAGAAGACAAUCUGAAAAGGCUACAUACUGUAUUAUUCCAACUAUAGGACAUUCUGGAAAAGGCAAAACUAUGGAGGUAGUAAAAAUAUCAGGAGUUGGAGGGGGUAGGAAGAACAGACAGAACAUAUAGGAUUUUUAGAGCAGUGAAUACUUUACAUGACACUAUUAUGAUGGAUACAUCAUCAGUUGUAACAAGUGUGCCACUAUGAUGGGACAUGCUGAUGAGGCUGUGCACGUGUGGGUUUACAGACUGAUGGAAAAUCUCUGUACGCUUCUCUUAAAUUAUGCUGUGAACUUAAAAUUGCUCUAAAAGUUUUUCUUUCUUUUCUUUAAAUAAAUUA